rnacentral:misc_RNA from 1 species
UUUCCGUAGGUGAACCUGCGGAAGGAUCAUUAAAGAGAAUAUGCCCUUCGGGGGAGAUCUCCCACCCUUUGUUUAUAUUACCUUUGUUGCUUUGGCAGGCCCGUCUUCGGACCACCGGCUUCGGCUGGUCAGUGCUUGCCAGAGGACCCAAAACUCCUAUUAUUAAUGUCGUCUGAGUACUAUAUAAUAGUUAAAACUUUCAACAACGGAUCUCUUGGUUCUG